GCCCUAGGGGGGGCAGCAGGUAGGUAUCUUUUGCAAUGCGCGCAAGCGUGACAAAGCGAGCCAGAGUGCUUUUCAUUGAAAAGCUUUUGUCAAAUUUAAAAAGUUUGGCGAAUAAGGACUGGGCAAGACUAGUGCCAGCCGCCGCGGUAAUACUAGCGGUCCAAGUCGCAGCCAUCAUUAUUGGGUCUAAAACAUCCGUAGCUUGCUGAACAAGUUUCUUGUGAAAUCUCAUCUCUUAAGGAUGAGGCGUGCAAGAAAUACUGUUUAGCUAGGGACUGGAAGACGUAGAGAGUAUGUCAAAAGUAGCGGUAAAAUGUAUUAAUCUUUGGCAGACUCACAAAAGCGAAGGCACUCUACGAGGACAGUUCUGACAGUGAGGGAUGAAGGCUAGGGGCGCAAAAUGGAUUAGAUACCCAUGUAGUCCUAGCAGUAAACACUGCACACUAAACAUUAGUACCUCUUCGGGAGGUAUUAGUGCUGAAGGGAAGCCGGAGAGUGUGCUACCUGGGAAGUAUAGCCGCAAGGCCGAAACUUAAAGGAAUUGGCGGGGAGACACUACAACGGGUGACGCGUGCGGUUCAAUUAGAUUCUACACCGUGAACCUCACCAGGAGCGACAGCAGAAUGAAGGUCAGUCUGAAGGGCUUACCUGACACGCUGAGCGGCGGUGCAUGGCC
rnacentral:rRNA from 1 species